UAAUACGUAGGUGGCAAGCGUUGUCCGGAUUUAUUGGGCGUAAAGCGCGCGCAGGCGGCUAUGUAAGUCUGGUGUUAAAGCCCGGGGCUCAACCCCGGUUCGCAUCGGAAACUGUGUAGCUUGAGUGUAGAAGAGGAAAGCGGUAUUCCACGUGUAGCGGUGAAAUGCGUAGAGAUGUGGAGGAACACCAGUGGCGAAGGCGGCUUUCUGGUCUGUAACUGACGCUGAGGCGCGAAAGCGUGGGGAGCAAACAGGAUUAGAUACCCUGGUAGUCCACGCCGUAAACGAUGAGUGCUAGGUGUUGGGGGUUUCAAUACCCUCAGUGCCGCAGCUAACGCAAUAAGCACUCCGCCUGGGGAGUACGCUCGCAAGAGUGAA
rnacentral:rRNA from 1 species